rnacentral:rRNA from 1 species
CGGGGGGCAGCAGUAGGGAAUCUUCGGCAAUGGACGCAAGUCUGACCGAGCAACGCCGCGUGAGUGAAGAAGGUUUUCGGAUCGUAAAACUCUGUUGUUAGAGAAGAACAAGGAUGAGAGUGGAAAGUUCAUCCCUUGACGGUAUCUAACCAGAAAGCCACGGCUAACUACGUGCCAGCAGCCGCGGUAAUACGUAGGUGGCAAGCGUUGUCCGGAUUUAUUGGGCGUAAAGCGAGCGCAGGCGGUCUUUUAAGUCUGAUGUGAAAGCCCCCGGCUUAACCGGGGAGGGUCAUUGGAAACUGGGAGACUUGAGUGCAGAAGAGGAAAGCGGAAUUCCAUGUGUAGCGGUGAAAUGCGUAGAUAUAUGGAGGAACACCAGUGGCGAAGGCGGCUUUCUGGUCUGUAACUGACGCUGAGGCUCGAAAGCGUGGGGAGCAAACAGGAUUAGAUACCCCCGU